rnacentral:lncRNA from 1 species
CUUGUUCUUCCCCCAUCUUUCUUGUUUACAACAAAAUAAACAGGUGGUAGCCUAGUAAUAUAGCAACAAAAUUAAUAGUAUAAAAAAGAGAAGAGUUUUCCAUUGGGGAAUCUAAAUAAAUAGAUCUAUUAAUCGGGCUAAAUUUUUAAAAAUAUUAAGAAGUUAUGGCCAAGAAAUUUUCGUGUUCAACAGUAUAGUGUGGUCAUCGGUUUUUCGAAGGAGUCUCGUGAGUGAAGAAAUAUGUGGUGGGAUCUGCUAAUGAUUAAUUUCCAUCAAUCUAGUUUUGUUUUUGGUGGUCGACUGUGUAAUACUUCCAGCGAUGUAAUCCUUCGUUUUUCGGUGAUGGUACGCUGCUUGUUGGUUGUUUUCCAUUUUUUGUGUCUCUGUAAAUCAAUAUUAUCCUUGUG